GACGAACGCUGGCGGCGUGCUUAACACAUGCAAGUCGAACGGAAAGGCCCUGCUUUUGUGGGGUGCUCGAGUGGCGAACGGGUGAGUAACACGUGAGUAACCUGCCCUUGACUUUGGGAUAACUUCAGGAAACUGGGGCUAAUACCGGAUAGGAGCUCCUGCUGCAUGGUGGGGGUUGGAAAGUUUCGGCGGUUGGGGAUGGACUCGCGGCUUAUCCGCUUGUUGGUGGGGUAGUGGUUUACCAAGGCUUUGACGGGUAGCCGGCAUGAGAGGGUGACCGGCCACAUGGGGACUGAGAUACGGCCCAGAAUCCUACGGGAGGCAGCAGUGGGGAAUAUUGCACAAUGGGCGGAAGUCUGAUGCAGCAACGCCGCGUGCGGGAUGACGGCCUUCGGGUUGUAAACCGCUUUCGCCUGUGACGAAGCGUGAGUGACGGUAAUGGGUAAAGAAGCACCGGCUAACUACGUG
rnacentral:rRNA from 1 species